rnacentral:rRNA from 1 species
CCUUUGUACACACCGCCCGUCGCUACUACCGAUUGAAUGGCUUAGUGAGAUUUCAGGAUUGGCGUUGAGAAGCCGGCAACGGCAUCUCUUGGCCGAGAAUUUGAUCAAACUUGGUCAUUUAGAGG